GUUGGACCCGGCUCCGCCCUACCCCACGGGGCCGCCUGGAGAGGUGCUGGGAGCUGGGUGGAGCUUAGAGGAAUUAAACUUUGGCCCUGCGCCUCGUCCAGCCUAGGUUCCACCCUUUUCUGGGAACGCUGGAGUGCAGUGGCACCAUCUCGGCUCACUGCAACCUCUGGCUCCCAGGUUCAAGCGAUUCUCCUGCCUCAGCCCCCUGAGUAGCUGGGAUUACAGGCACGCGCCACCACUCCCAGUUUACACCCCGCCACUCCUGAGCACCGCACACCGGCUUCCUCCCAGUCCCUCAUCUGAGAACUCAUGAAGCCACUUGGAAUCCCUCUCUGCUUUGCCUGGCUCAUUCCAUGUCAAUUUCAGAUCUUCACUUCAGGUCAGCUCCAAGGAGGCUAUCCUUGCCCAUCUUCCUAAAAUAGAGCUCUCAAAACCUGGCUGUUUUCCUUCAGAGCACUGGCCUCCAAUUGUAAGUAGAUAUUUAUCUGUUUACUACGUGUCUCCAUCACUAGGCGAUACACUUCAGGAGGGGAGAAUUUUUUGUUUUGGUUCUCUGCCAUAAGAGUGCAUGGUAUUUACUAAGCAUGAAAUAAAUAGUUGUUGGGGGGAAAAAGAAUGAGUAAACGAAUAAAUGAAGUGUGGGAAACUCCUGAGGAUGCAACUCUCUACCUAGCGGUGGCCAAAGCUACUGGAUAAACCAUGUAUGUACCCAUCUUUUUAACCUAUGUGUGUUUUGCUAGAAUGGAGUGUUCUAAUUAGAAGUAAAAAUUUGUUUGUUCUUUAAUAGAAUUUAA
rnacentral:lncRNA from 1 species